ACGCCGCGUGCAGGAUGACGGCCUUCGGGUUGUAAACUGCUUUUAUAAGCGAGAAAUAUGAUGGUAACUUAUGAAUAAGGACCGGCUAACUACGUGCCAGCAGCCGCGGUCAUACGUAGGGUCCAAGCAUUAUCCGGAUUGACUGGGUGUAAAGAGUUGCGUAGGUGGCAGGGUAAGUAGAUAGUGAAAUCUGGUGGCUCAACCAUUCAGACUAUUAUCUAAACUGCUCCGCUCGAGAGCGUUAGGGGUAGCUGGAAUUUCUAGUGUAGGAGUGAAAUCCGUAGAUAUUAGAAAGAACACCGAUAGCGUAGGCAGGCUACUGGGACGUUUCUGACACUAAGGCACGAAAGCGUGGGGAGCAAACGGGAUUAGAUACCCCGGUAGUCCACGCCGUAAACGAUGGAUACUAGCAGUUUCGGGUAUCGACCCCUGGAGUUGCGAAGCUAACGCGUUAAGUAUCCCACCUGUGUAGUACGAUCGCAAGAUUAAAACAUAAAGGAAUUGACGGGGACCCGCACAAGCGGUGGAGCGUGAUCUUUAAUUCGAUGGUAAACGAUAAACCUUACCAAGGCUUGACAUCUCGGGAAGGCUUCCGAAAGGAAACUGUGCCCUCGGGAACCCGAAGACAGGUGAUGCAUGGCCGUCGUCAGCUCGUGUCGUGAGAUGUUUGGUUAAGUCCAUCAACGAGCGCAACCCUUGCAACCAGUUGUAUUUUUCUGGUAGGACUGCCCCGGUAACGGGGAGGAAGGAGGGGAUGAUGUCAGGUCAGUAUUUCCCUUACGCCUUGGGCUAGAAUCGCGCUACAAUGGCCGGUACAAUGCGAAGCGAAGCAGUGAUGUGAAGCAAAUCGCACCAAAGCCGGUCCCAGUUCGGAU
rnacentral:rRNA from 1 species